AUUGAACGCUGGCGGCAUGCCUUACACAUGCAAGUCGAACGGUAACGGGCCUUCGGGUGCCGACGAGUGGCGAACGGGUGAGUAAUGUAUCGGAACGUACCUUUCAGUGGGGGAUAACGUAGCGAAAGUUACGCUAAUACCGCAUAUUCUGUGUGCAGGAAAGCAGGGGAUCGCAAGACCUUCCGCUGAUUGAGCGGCCGAUAUCAGACUAGCUAGUUGGUGAGGUAAAGGCUCACCAAGGCGACGAUCUGUAGCGGGUCUGAGAGGAUGAUCCGCGACACUGGAACUGAGACACGGUCCAGACUCCUACGGGAGGCAGCAGUGGGGAAUUUUGGACAAUGGGGGCAACCCUGAUCCAGCCAUGCCGCGUGAGUGAAGAAGGCCUUCGGGGUGUAAAGCUCUUUCGGCCGGGAAGAAAUCGUAUCAGCUAAUACCUGGUGCGGAUGACGGUACCGGCAUAAGAAGCACCGGCUAACUACGUGCCAGCAGCCGCCGUAACAC
rnacentral:rRNA from 1 species